UCUCGCUAAGGAUAGAAAAGUCUCUGAACCAUGAAAUAGAACCAGUUGUACUCCACAAUGGCUAUAGCUUUUUCACCAUGCGCCAGAAUAAAUACUUUAGAUUGGGUUAUUAAACCAGGAAUCCGCAGGUCGUGGGCGACCCCAAAAGAGAAAAGGACCAAUCCAGAAACACAGCAAUUAAUUUUGAAAGGUCGAAGUGUGACGCCGAAAUGGCCACUGCACUCAUGGACUGGGAGAUAUUGGUGGAGACAGUCUGAUUUCUAGGGAACCUGAGGCUGUACAAGUUGUGGUUGUGCAAACCCCAACACUGAAAGAGAGAUUCGGACUUGUCCCUCCUGUCCCACAACCAACCAAGCAAGAGUUUCUCCAGGAAUAUCAGUGCAAAGGGCUUGCAUCAACACUGCCGGAGUAACAGAACCAUGGAUGACUUGGCCUACUUCCUGCAUGUUAAAAAACUAACCACAUAAAUCUGUUAUGUAAAAAUCAACUUUUUCAUUUUAAUUCACAAUUUAAAACUUUACAUUGUAUAAGUGACUGUUUAAUAAA